rnacentral:misc_RNA from 1 species
CAACCCUCAAGCCCCCGGGUUUGGUGUUGGGGAUCGGCGAGUCUUAGGACCAGCCGCCCCCUAAAUCUAGUGGCGGUCUCACUGCAGCCUCCAUUGCGUAGUAGCUAACACCUCGCAACUGGAACGCGGUGCGGCCAUGCCGUUAAACCCCCAACUUCUGAAUG